rnacentral:lncRNA from 1 species
UGGCCAUGUAAAUUGCACCAGUAGUUAUGUGAGAAUUUGGAGCCAAAGAGAAAGAAAAUGAGAAAACCACAAUGAUAAUGCAGAAUAACUUUAAUGGGGAGGGAAAGGACAGGAUGAGGCUGCUGGAAUAAAUAACAGAGCAAAGGACACCAUUUGAGAUGCUGAUAUGGACGCUCUCACGCUGCAUUCAGCCUUCUGUAUACUAGUGACACAUUUCACCGAGUAGUGUUUUUAUUUUCUUAAAUAAAAGUAAACUAUAAAUACAAUAUUUCUCUUCCGCUGGAGUUCUUCCCUGCAGUGAAGCUGAAAGGCAGAAGCAAAUGGCAUGUGUAUACAUAAUACAUGUUUGUUUAUCAAAGGAAAAAGUGAAGUUCCUGGUGACUAAUUCCCCAAAGUGCAAGGACCAGUCUAACAAGAUUCAGCAAGAAAAGGGUUUGUCAGCUCUUAGCUGACUCCAUUUGUAUUGAUUUUGAAACUACUGCUGCCUGCCUCUUUCUGGCAAAGCAAUGCAAAAAGAGCAAGUGGUUCCUGAGAACGAGAUGCUGUGUCUUUCAAACUGGAACUGGGGGGCAUUUUUUCUUGGCUGGAUUACCUACUGGCCUGAGAAUGUGCUUGAGGAAAGUGCUAUGAGCUAAUGUAAAGCAUAACUUCAAGAAGACAGAGGUACCAGCCAGCUGGUGAAAGCAUGGCACCAGUCACUGAGAUCAGGAGCUUAAAAGGCUUAAUCCUGAAGGAUGUCCACUUACAGAACAGAAAACUGAAGGGAGAUAAGAUGUUACUAUGCCAUCUGCACAAAACCACAACUUGGGGAUGGGCUUAGCAACACAGCCCUGGUCAUCCUGCACCAAUUAAUAACAUGGGCACUGUGGAGCUUGCCUGGAUGGGGCAUCCUAUGCUAGGAUUUGGAAGGCUGUGCCAAGUGAAACUGAACACAGAGAAAGCUGCUUAGUAGCCCACCCUGUUGCUGUGUACAUCAGAGAAGAGCCCAU